CCUACGGGAUGCAGCAGUGAGGAAUAUUGGUCAAUGGGCGCGAGCCUGAACCAGCCAAGUAGCGUGAAGGAUGACUGCCCUACGGGUUGUAAACUUCUUUUAUAAAGGGAUAAAGUGAGGCAUGUGUGCCUUUUUGUAUGUACUUUAUGAAUAAGGAUCGGCUAACUCCGUGCCAGCAGCCGCGGUAAUACGGAGGAUCCGAGCGUUAUCCGGAUUUAUUGGGUUUAAAGGGAGCGUAGAUGGGUUGUUAAGUCAGUUGUGAAAGUUUGCGGCUCAACCGUAAAAUUGCAAUUGAUACUGGCAGCCUUGAGUACAGUUGAGGUAGGCGGAAUUCGUGGUGUAGCGGUGAAAUGCUUAGAUAUCACGAAGAACACCGAUUGCGAAGGCAGCUUACUAAACUGCAACUGACAUUGAUGCUCGAAAGUGUGGGUAUCAAACAGGAUUAGAUACCCUGGUAGUC
rnacentral:rRNA from 1 species